AUGGUGAUCUUCAUGAGAACUGACUUCAUUGCCCUUGUGACGGUGGAAGCCACAAUGCAGGGGGCUGAGGAAUGUGUAUAUAAGGUUCUUGAAGCAUCUUAUAAAGAAUGUUAUAUACAUACAGACUAUUACAGAUACCUUAGAAAAUCAGAGAGCAUCUUUCAUAGAAGGUUCUUAUGGCUCUUCAGGACUUCCCUGGUGGCUCAGAUGGUAAAGUGCCUGCCUACAACGCGGGAGACCCAGGUUCAAUCCCUGGGUUGGGAAGAUCUCCUGGAGAAGAANNNNNNNNCCCACUGCAGUAUUCUUGCCUGGAAAAUCCCAUGGACAGAGGAACCUGGUAGGACACGCAAAGAGUCGGACACGACUGAGCAGCUUCACUUUCACUUUCAUGGCUCUUUAAGAUCGUGACUCCUGAUAUAGGAGGUCCUCCCUGUUUGGUUAUGUGGCCAAAUGUCUUGGUGUGACCUCUAGUGAGUCAAAAGGGACAGCCCAAGGAAGCAGUUGGCAAAGCAUAAGCCAGAGCAGAGCAGCUGCGGGAGGCUGAUUUCAGAUCCUAAAGUACCUUGUGUUUCCAAGUUCGGGAGUGGGAGGAAGGACGGGGAAGUGUGAAUUGCUUAUCUCCAUAGCGCCACCCACCUCUGCUGCCGUCAAGAGUCAGUCGACAAGCUGCCGACGACUCUGUGGCAGUGCCCUUGCCCACCCGGGCCCCUUUCAGCUGCUAAUUAUGGAAUCAGCUGAGGAGAACAGUGAGGGCUGGUAUGUCCAUCAGAAGACUGUGGGGUCUCUGCACGCCUGAUGAUCAUCUCUGUGGAACUUGUUUGCCAGAAGUUGCCUGGCAGGUCAGCUGUUUCAAGGGUGGAAGGGAGGGCUGACUCUGGCUAAUUAUACGUAUGUAGCAACCAUGUCAGUGGUGAUACACACCCCUUUGGUCAGGGGCAGCGUGCCACUGGUGCUAGCCCACCCAUUAGUUUUGCUCUAACACGUCUUCUAAUUCUCUGAGAGAGGUUAAGAAAGCUGGAGUCAGAACUGCAAGGAACAGGAGCCGUGGUGGCUGGGACAAGAGGUGUUAGACAAUUUCUGUUCUUUGAGUAUAGCUAUGUUGUGACCAAUCCUAUAGAAACCACAGUUCAUUGAAGAGCUUUACAGGAGGCUCUGAGGCCCCAGGUGAGGAUAGGGUGGUUAACUCCUGUACUCCUGGGUGCUGUUACUUCUCUAACAGUUUGUUCCUUAUUCUUGAUAUUUUAGGCUUCCCUUGUGGCUCAGCUGGUAAAGAAUCUGCCUGCAGUGUGGGNNNNNNNNNNNNNNNNNNNNNNNNNNNNNNNNNNNNNNNNNNNNNNNNNNNNNNNNNNNNNNNNNNNNNNNNNNUGGAGAAUUCCAUGGACUGUAUAGCCUGUGGGGUUGCAAAGAGUCGGACAUGACCAAGCGACUUUCACUUUCUCUUGGUAUUUUGCUAACUUGAAGCAUCUUUUUUAAUUAAUUAAUUUAAAUUAAAAAAAUUUUUCUUUGGCUGUGUGGUGAGGCGUGUUGGGUUUUAGUUCCCCAACCAGAGCUCAAAUCCAUGCCUCCUACACUGGGAGUUCGGAGUCUUAACCACUGGACUGCCGUGGAAGUCCCACAUCAUCCUUCCCAGAGCACACAUAUCUGGUGUUUUUUGAAUGUGUAGUUUCAGAUUUACAGCAUUUGAGUAAGCAUUUGUUUUGGUGCAAAGGCUGUUAGUAAUGUUAACAUUACCUUUUAAACAAGAAUACUUCAUUUGUAAUUAGAUCUGUACCUUCAUAUAUGACAGUGUCUUCAAAGGAACUGAUAAAUAUAUAAAAUUCAUCAGCUCUUCCCUUCUCUUUUACUUUUUUUAAGCAACAUCAACAGCAACAAGCCUCCUUGUCCUUAGGAGAGAUUAAGAAAUGAGAUAUGUAGCUUCUUAUCUUUUCUAGGAAGGGACAUAUUUGGCUCUAUUUCUAUCAUUGAUAAAAGCUAAAAAAAUAUUUUUAAUUUCAGUCAUGGAAAUAGCUUGGUUUUACCUAUCAAUAUAACUUUAGCACAUGAAGGAAGAAGAUAAAUUUACUUGGUUGCUUUCUACUUCCUUAGAACUUCUGCCAAGAGGCAGUUAAAGGCAAAAGACAGACAUUCAGAUGAAAAGUUGUAAGUGUUCUUCUGAAGGUCCUGGGUGGCCCUUGGUAGGUACAGAAAGAAUCAGUGAAGCCCAAGAUGUGAGUGCCCCUCGCAUCAAUGGCAGCAGGAAGGAGACCUGCUUUUCACUGCCAUACCCCUUUGCACAUAUGCAAAUGUUCAAAGUAUUUAAAUCAUAAAUAAUAGUAACAAAACCAAAGUCCUCUAGUAUUUGUAUUAAAGCUUUAUUUUCCUAUUUGGAGGUACUAAACUUUCUUUAAAAUAACAAAAGUAAAGAAAAGAGGGUAGGUAUUUUGAGGCCAUUAAAAGGAAGUACCAAAAUGUCCUUGUUAUAAUACCACAUCCUCAUGUGUAAGCACUUGUAAAGCCAUGGUUUCAGCACUAAAGAGAGGGCUCAGGGUUACAUAUUACUUGGCUAACAGGUAAUAGGAACAGAAAUUAAGCUUAAAUUUCUCUCGGAACUCAGGGAAAUGUUUAUCUUUCCUGAGUUACUGGUAUGAGUUCUUUGGUCUGUUAAUUGGAACAACAUAACAGUGUGUUUUAUUUUUAACCUUGUCAAAAAAAGAAAAGGAGCCUACGUUCUUAGUACAACUUUUUAUUCUCUUCCCCAUAGUUUUCAUUUAAAAAAAAAUCCUCAUUUUAAAUCUUAUUAUUUUCUUAAUUUAAGAGACAUGCAGGAUAUAAAU
ensembl:lncRNA